rnacentral:lncRNA from 1 species
GUUUACUAAUUUUGAUUUUAUAAGGUUUGUAGCAUUAUAGAAUAAACUGGGAUUUAUAAACCAGCUGUGAUUAACAAUGUAAAGUAUUAAUUAUUGAACUUGAACCAGAUUUUUAGGAAAAUUAUGUUAUUUCUUUUUCUCCUUUAUGGUCUUAACUAAUUUGAAUCCUUCAAGAAUCUUUCCAUACUAUUUUUUGAGAUAGAAGGUAAUGGGGGUGGUGUGGGGGGGGGAGAAUGCAUGUAUGGUACUCCAUAAAUUCAACAUUCUUUAAGAAAUACGUGAUUAUAAAUAAACUGCAUCCAAGCCUUGGAUUUUAUAUUUAAAAUAGGACCUAACUAUUUUGGUUAUUCAGUCAUGUGGUUCCUAGCUUACAAGGGCUAGAUCUAAGAUUAUUCUCAUGAGAAAUGUUGAAUUUAUGAAGAAUGGAUUUUGAGGCUCUGAAAAUGGUUAAUUCCUCAAAUAUAAACAUCAAUGUCCAAACAUCUACCUUUUUUCCAUAGGAGUAGACGCUAGCAAGCUGGACAAAAUAAUCAUAAGUAUUUGUCCCACCAUGACCUGUGGUCUGUGGCUGACUGAUACAAAAUUCUUCGUGUGUGAUUCUUAAUUUACCACUACAGCACAAGUAUUAUCUCAGUGGAUUAUCUGAAGUAACAUUUGAAAGAAGGGUUCAUCUGUGUUUGCUCUUUUAAAACUUUUUUUUCCCCUACCCCAAGUUGGCUUUGCAUCUAUCAGAGUAAAUAAAUUCUUCAGCUGCCUUAUUAGGAGUGCUUUGGAGGGUAACACCUUUUCUGCUUUUCAUCUUGUGUUUACUGUAUUAAAGUAUUUGAUUUCAGAUUGAAUGAAUGUAAAUAGAAAUUAAAUGCAAAUUUGAAUGAACAUAAAAGUGAUUUUUUUUAUUAUUAUCAUUAUUACCCUAAGAUAGGAAGAAAUAACUACCAGAUACACAAAUGGUUUCAAUAAUUUUUCCCAUUUAUAUGCU